GAACGGAGGAAUGGCCAGAGAAGGAGGAAGAGGAAGAGAUGCACCUUAGAAAAGGAUCAUUAUGAGAAGCUCCCUCCUCCAUGCCUACAUGGGCAAACUCUAGACCUCCAUAAGUCUAAUGCCAGAAGUCUACGUCAGAGCCCUACAGAACUUUUUAGACCUCUAGAGAGAAAAAAUCAGAAGCCCGGAUUUAUCCCCACUGGCAAUUAUCCCAGAAAGGGUUAUUUCCAGAAUGAAACCAGCUAACCAUGUCAAACACAUCAAAGUUCAUCUGGGUACCAAGCACUAAAUGCUUCAAAGUUGCUGAAAACAGUCUAGUCUUACCACUGCAGAAAAAGUGUACACACCAGUACUG